rnacentral:lncRNA from 1 species
GGACGCGCCGGCUCCGGGCGGGCGUGGUCCCUCCUGCGGGCGCCUGGGUUGGCCGGGCGGACCCCGGAAGAGGGGGAGUCGCGGGGACGCAGCGACAGAGUCGGGGUCUGGCCGCGGCCGCCCACGCCUCCCAGGGGUUGCAGGCCUGGGCGCCGGGGUUGGACCAGUCUUCCGGGCAUUGCACGCCCUGGUUUGGUCUGUACCCAUGGUUUGUGGCGGGGCAAGAUGUUAAGUUGGGUAACACCGAGGUGAGCCGCGGUCCUCGGCACCAGAUGAAGAACCACUGUCUCAAUAAGAUUAUUAAAAACUCCAAUUUGUGUCUGUGUAACUCAACGUGGGAGCCUGGAACCAUGUUUACUCUUCUGAUGACCCUGAAAGGUACAAUCCACAACCCACCUCCCCUGCAUCCCAGUUUUGCUCCAGUGUGUGCCCUGUGUUGUUGACGACCCUUGUGUUGUGCUGAUAAUUCAUCACAGAGGCUACCUUUCCCUUGGCGCCCUCACUGAAACUUCCUCCACAAGAGUCACCGAUGAACACUUCAUACUUCCAGAUUCCACAGCCUCUUUUGGUACAAGUCACUGUCAUCCCUCACCCGGCCUACUGCAGUAGUCUCCUAAUGGUCCCCUGCUUCCAUCCUUUGCCCUACAAUCUGUUCCCAACCUGACAGCCAAAGUGACCUUUUCCUGAAAAAUUGAACUUUUAAAAAUUCAGAAAUAAUCUAUACAUAGUAAAACUCAAGUGUAUUAAUACGCAAUUCUGCAUGCUUUGGCAAACACAUGCAGUGGUUUAACCUCCACUGUAGUCAAGAUAUAAAAAUGUUUUUUUAAUAACAUUUAUAAACAAGAUAUAAAAAUGUAUAUAAUUCCUUUGUACCAACCUAUUUCCUUACCCCCAGUCCCUGGUAACCACUGAUUUCUGUUUCUAAACUUUUUGCCUUUUCAGAAUGGCAUGGAAAUGAAUCAUAUCGUAUGUAGCCUUUGAGUCUGGCUUCUUUCACUUAGCAUAAUGCAUUUGAGAUUAAUUCAUGUUGUGUGUGUUAGUAGCUCAUUGUUUUUAAUACUGAAUAAGACUCCUUUAUAAUGAAUAUUCCACAGUUUGUUAUCCAUAUGCAACAGAUAAAGGAUGUGUGAUACUUUCCAAUUUUUGGCAGUUAUAAAGUUGCUUUCUAAGCAUUUGCAUACAGGUUUUUCUGGAAGUUUAAGUUUCUAUUUCAUUUGGGUAAAUGCCUGGGAGUGGGAUUGCUGGGUUGUAUGGUAAGAGUAUAUUUCAUUUUAUAAGACUGUCAGGCUACUUUGCAAAGUGUACCAUUUUGCAUUUCCACCAGCAAUGUAUGUUCCAGUUGCUCUGCAGCCUCACCAGCCCCUGAUAUUAUCAGCUAAAAAAAUUAUUUUUAAAAGCUAUAAAAAGUAUUUUUAGCUGAUAAUGUAUUUUUAGACAUUCUACCAGAUGUGUAGUGGUAUCUCAUUGUGGCUUUAAUG